rnacentral:rRNA from 1 species
GAUGAACGCUGGCGGCGUGCCUAAUACAUGCGAGUCGAGCGAACGGACGAGAAGCUUGCUUCUCUGAUGUUAGCGGCGGACGGGGGAGUAACACGUGGAUAACCUACCUAUAAGACUGGGAUAACUUCGGGAAACCGGAGCUAAUACCGGAUAAUAUUUUGAACCGCAUGGUUCAAAAGUGAAAGACGGUCUUGCUUUCACUUAUAGAUGGAUCCGCGCCGCAUUAGCUAGUUGGUAAGGUAACGGCUUACCAAGGCAACGAUGCAUAGCCGACCUGAGAGGGUGAUCGGCCACACUGGAACUGAGAAACGGUGCAGACUCCUACGGGAGGCAGCAGUAGGGAAUCUUACGCAAUGGGCGGAAGCCUGACGGAGCAACGCCGCGUGAGUGAUGAAGGUCUUCGGAUCGUAAAACUCUGUUAUUAGGGAAGAACAUAUGUGUAAGUAACUGUGCACAUCUUGACGGUACCUAAUCAGAAAGCGACGGCUAACUACGUG